rnacentral:rRNA from 1 species
CUACGGGUCGCUCCAGUGAGGAAUAUUGCACAAUGGGGGGAACCCUGAUGCAGCAACGCCGCGUGGAGGAUGACGCAUUUCGGUGUGUAAACUCCUUUUAUAUGUCAAGAAAAUGACGGUAGCAUAUGAAUAAGCACCGGCUAACUCCGUGCCAGCAGCCGCGGUAAUACGGGGGUGCAAGCGUUACUCGGAAUCACUGGGCGUAAAGGACGCGUAGGCGGGUUGGAAAGUCAGGUGUGAAAUCCUACAGCUUAACUGUAGAACUGCACUUGAAACUUCUAAUCGAGAGUAUGGGAGGGGGAGAUGGAAUUAGUGGUGUAGGGGUAAAAUCCGUAGAUAUCACUAGGAAUACCUAAAGCGAAGGCGAUCUCCUGGAACAUUACUGACGCUAAGGCGUGAAAGCGUGGGGAGCAAACAGGAUUAGAUACCCCCGUAGUC